GCCAAAGGAGGAGAAGUCUUGCCACUCGUGGACUGCAGAUUGAAUGGACUCGUGGCGAUGGAAGAAGUGUGCAGAGCAUGCAAAGUCGCUUGCUGAUGCAUUCAAGACAGCGAGCGAGAUAGACCAACUAUGUCUCAGACUUUGUAGGUUCCAAUCGUAUGCUACCAUUUCCCCGUCCUCUCGUGGCAGAAGAUCUGAACCCUCGACACUCGACAGUUGGUAGAGGCUCAGGCCAGUAGAGGCAAGAGCCUUCCAAAAGUGGCGUGUGCUGCUGAGCAGCGGCGUGC